rnacentral:rRNA from 1 species
AACGAACGCUGGCGGCAUGCCUAACACAUGCAAGUCGAACGAGAACUUCGGGUCUAGUUGCGCACGGGUGCGUGACGGGUGGGAACCUGCCCUUAGGUUCGGAAUAACUCCCCGAAAGGGGUGCUAAUACCGGAUAAUGUCUUCGGACCAAGGAUUUAUCGCCUUUGGAUGGGCCCGCGUUGGAUUAGCUAGUUGGUAGGGUAAAAGCCUACCAAGGCGACGAUCCAUAGCUGGGCUGAGAGGAGGAUCAGCCACACUGGGACUGAGACACGGCCCAGACUCCUACGGGAGGCAGCAGUGGGGAAUAUUGGACAAUGGGCGAAAGCCUGAUCCAGCAAUGCCGCGUGAGUGAUGAAGGCCUUAGUGUUGUAAAGCUCUUUUACCCGGGAUGAUAAUGACAGUACCGGGAGAAGAAGCGCCGGCUAACUCCGUG